rnacentral:rRNA from 1 species
UACGAAGGGGGCUAGCGUUGUUCGGAAUUACUGGGCGUAAAGGGCUCGUAGGCGGCCAACUAAGUCAUACGUGAAAUCCCUCAGCUUAGCUGGGGAACUGCGUCUGAUACUGGUUGGCUUGAGUUUGGGAGAGGGAUGCGGAAUUCCAGGUGUAGCGGUGAAAUGCGUAGAUAUCUGGAGGAACACCGGUGGCGAAGGCGGCAUCCUGGACCAACACUGACGCUGAGGAGCGAAAGCCAGGGGAGCAAACGGG